CAUUAGAUGGCUGAAAGCAAGCAAUGGUCUCUUAAACCUUACAAUAGUAAAUUAGUGCAUACUUCUAAUGG
rnacentral:tRNA from 1 species